rnacentral:misc_RNA from 1 species
AUCCGGACGUAGAUGUUUAUAUUACAGAGAGACAGUUAUUGGACUGGUGCAACAUGGAACAGGAGGGGAAACAUGUACCAACAGGUUUGCAGUUUUGCGCAGCCAGAAAAGAUUAACACAUCUAGAAAUGCAGCUGCUUGCAAUGCGACGCCAUAGCCUCCGAGGGGCAGUAGGGGCACUUGAAGGCCCUCGAGCUGCUUUUCGACAGCUUCAUGAUGGACUGCUUGGAGACAACAUGUCCACAAGGCAUCCGCAUUGGGGGAUUCUCGUCACUGGACUGCUCCCUGAGCACCGGGCACACAAAGACAGAAUGAUACUGGAAUUCUGGCCCGAUGUCUAUGGGGACAGGAAGCUGCUUCAUAACUUGCCACUCCUGCUUCUUCGCAGCCAUGACUUGCGUCAGCUUCAGCAGAGUUGGUAGUCCUUGAAAACCAGCUGACACUGCAACACUCAGCGGGCUCUCCCUCGACUGGCCCAGAAGGCUACAGAAUUGAUGGGUGAGCUCCUCAGCUAGCUUCUCCCAAUGCGCGGAUGACAUUAACUCAGAAUAUGGGGAUUGAUCGAGCCGGCCAACCCAUAGAAGGCAAGCCAUUAGCUUCUGGAAUUCUUCCUUGUGCACGGCUGCAAAGGGGACCAAGUGAGUCCUAGCAUAUAAAAGAGCCUCAUCUUUGGCCUCACCCCUACUGCCUUUGGACAAUAUUUCAACAAACUGAAGCUGAUAAAGCUUGAACUCCAGCAUAGACCCAUUCUGCAACAGCUGAUCAUGGUUUUUGGCAGCCCAACUGAGAGCAGGCUCGAGGUUUCUCGCUUUCAUGGCUUCAAGGAUAGCAUACAUCUCCUGAAACGGUAGCUUCAAGGAAGCUCCGCCUAGUUCCCCACACUCAUGGACAAACAUGUCACCAAGAUCAAAGAGGCCUUGGCGGUAGAAAUGAUUCGCUAUGAUAUUGUUUACUGUAUGGACCUCAAAAUCCACAUUUCUGUAUGCCUUAGAUAUAUCUGGAUUGAAAGACUUCUCAAGGAGUUUGAGAUAUUUGCUCAGAGCAACAUUGAGCUCCUUUUGGCUGCCUUCAAGCUGGUUUAGUGGUGCCAUUUCAUUGAGCUUAGCUUUCAGUUCUGCAAGGAUGGAUGGGUGGUCAACAUUUCCAGUAGAAUCUGUAUUCAUCAUCUGCAGCUUCACAAUAG